rnacentral:lncRNA from 1 species
UUUAACUCAAGAGAAGUUAGACUUUGACUUAUUGGUUAAAACUUCGUUAGCAGAAACCAUUGUUACCUCCACUGUUUAUUAAUCUUGUUUGAUUCAAAUCGACACUUUUACGUUACCUGUCGAUCUUAUCUCUUUGAAAAUACUUGCCUUUGAUGUGAUUUUAGAAAUCGAUUGGUUAACUACUCAUCAUGCUUUUCGUAAGGUUGUUAGCUUUCAUAUUCCUAAUUAACCUGUUAUGCGAAUUCAAGCAACCAAACCACUAAAGUCAAUCAUUGCCAUAUCAAGCCAUAAGUAAAUAGCCCCGAUCCUUUCGUUGUUGACUUCCUUGUGUGGAAGGCACCGAAGUCAGAC